rnacentral:lncRNA from 1 species
AGAGAAGGUAAGGGCUGCAUCUAUGGAAUUUCUCAUGAGAUGAUGAGACAUGAGCUACUGGAAAAUUUUCUGUGCUUUUCUGUGUCUGUGUCUCUUCUAGCCCAUGCUUCUGCAGAGGGCACACAGUAACACAAGUUUUCAGUGCCAGUGAAUGUAUAAAAUAGAGAACACUCUGAGCAUGUCUCCUCACAAAAAAAGUGGCUGGACUUGUUUUUCCCUCCUUUAUAGUAUACCCUCCCUGUGCCCAGCUCAAACAGGAACAAACUUCAUGAGUUAUCCUGUAAAUCCCAAGAUUGAGAAAGUCCCUCAAUAUUUUCUUUUGAAGAUCUCCAAUAUGAGAAGCAAUAAGGUAGUCGGGAAAUGGGUUGGGUACUGGAAAAACCGGAGUCCUAGUUAGUGUUCUCUUAAUAGAGUUUGGGCAAAAAUUUACCUGUCUCUGUUUUCUUAUUUGUAAAACAGGCAAACUAGAUGUAUAUCUAAGUAAGUAUUUUCUCUUGGUCCCCAGCUUCUAAUAGUGACCUGGAUCAUAAGUAAUUAAAGAAAACAAACAAGACAGUGCUGUAGAAAACCGGACAGUGAAGAACAUAAUCUCAGUUAAGGUAUUAUUGGUACCACAUCUAGAAAGGCCAGUGAAUCUGAUGUGUCUUCAUGAACAAGCAUUUCCCCUGCUCUAUAUUUAGAGCUGUGUCAUGGAAUUGGAAUGAAUACGCCUUGGAGUUUUCUUAGCUCUACUUGGGGACACAUAGUUUUGUAAACUUACUGUUAUAAACCAAUUUUCCUGGAAGGGACUUCAGCAUGUGGAUGACCCCGUGGGUAUUCAGUUAUUGGCUGGUGUCUUUCCUCUGAAUCAGAGCUAAAAAAUAUAUUUUAAAUAAACACUUGUUUUCUGGCUUGUUGAAGGUCUUACAUUUUUUAAAAAAAAUAUUUCUCUUUGCAUAAUAUGAAACCUGUAUAUUAGGUCAAAUUUGGGUACUUUGAUCUAUUUGCAUGUAUACCAAUGUAGUCUGUAGACACACACGUGACUCUCGUUGGUUUACUGGGAAUUGUAUUGAGCUGGCAAUGCCUUUCUGUGUCCCUCACUCAUUUGCUUCCAAAGAUAGAAUACUGCUGCAGAUUAAAGGAUAAGACUAUUUUUGAUCUCAACACCAAAGAACUCUCUCUGUGCAAAGAAACCAAGUAGACCCAAGGCCAUAGUUGUAUAAUCAUAAAAAAGAGUGGCUGAAUUGUUUUUGUCCCUCUCCUCACUAAUGUGGGCACCAAGAUACUUUGCUGAAGGCCUUUGAUUACUUAUGUACCUUGAUGCCAACUUUACAAGGACAAGGACCAGUUGAAUUAGGGAGUUAGUUGUUUCUAGUUCUCUAAGUAGAGAUUCAGCCUCACAUGAUAAUAACUCGCAAAAAAGUUCAAUUUGACAACCUGUAAAUCUUAAAUUUAGUUUAUCUCAAAUUCAUGUCCUGGUCCCAUUUAGGAAAAAUGGGCUUGUUUUCUCUUUUCUUUUCUCAUUUGAAUUGUUCUUUUCUGUCCAAACCCAAAACCUUAACUCCACCUCUGAAUAUUAUUUUUUUCUUUUAGAUGUUAGCAGUAAUCUAAACAGGCUGUAAUUUUUUUCUCUUAUAGUCUGAUUUUUAUCUUAUAUCUGUUACACCAAUUAGUAGAGGUUCUCAGAUUUUCAUACCUAAACAGGGGAGUAACCCUCCAAAUGAGUUCCCUUUUCCACUAUACCUAACAUACACACACACACACACACACACUUUUUGUAUAGACCUAAUACUACUAUUCUUUGAUACAGGACUCUUUUCUAGUUACUCUUCAAUGACUAAUGCCUUAACCUCAUUUAAAAAAAUAUUUUCUAGCUGCAGAUGGACACAAUACCUGUAUUUAUUUAUUCAUUUUUAUGUGGUGCGGAGGAUUGAACCCAGUGCCUCACACAUGUGAGGCAGGCACUCUACCACUGAGCUACAGCCCCAGCCCCCUUAACCUUAUUUUUUCACCCAGAAUGAGACUCUGAUACAUUUCAACUCACUUUCAUCAGCAUGUUUAUUUUGAGACCAUGAAGAAACCAAUAAACACUUUUCCCUUGGAUACUAAUUUAACCUUUGGCAGUUACUGUAUGCUUCAUCAUUCCUAUUUGAGAAAGUAUAAAACAUUCAGAGAAGUCUUCUAGGAGUUAUUAGAAUUAUUAAAAUGAUCAUAUGAGGAUGAUAAAGCUGCUCAAGAAGUUGAGUAUGGAGGUAGAUAAUAAUAAUAGUAGUAAUAGCAGUAAUAUUGGUGUAGUUAUCAAUGAUUGUCACUAUGUGCCAGAAAAUAUUCUGUACUUUUUUUUUUCAUUGACUUAAUUCUACAGCAACACUCUGAGGUUGGUCCUUGGUAUCUCACAGAUGUGAAAACAGAGGUUUUGACAGGCUCAGUACAAAGAGGUGCAUGCUUUAAUAAAGUCCCAAAGGAUUGCAAAAUCCCAGCAGCAGAGAUAAGCUAUCCAGCUGGAAGAAAGUUGUAAAAAGAAGUCAUAAAAUAGAGGAAAAUGACUGGGGAUUUUUCAUUUAAUUAAUUAAAAAUGUGACAUUGUUCAGUCUUAUAUAACUAUAGUUCUAUGAGUUCAUGAUUGUGUUUUUAACUGGGUGAUCAGCUCCUUGAGGAUCAAUAUUAAUUCUUUUUGUCUCCUGUAUAAGGGCUAACCUAGUGCUUUUCACAAAGUGGAAAUACUUUACUUAAAAAAUACUUUUUCUUGUUUCGAGCAGUGAGAUCCUGUGUUUCAGCUUUUGUGGUUGCUACUGUUCUAGAUACAUAUCUGAAGGUAGUCUGCUUAUAUGGAAAUAGGUUAGUAUACACUAACUGUAUAUAUAAUAUAUUUAUUUCUGUUUAAGAAUGUUUAAACAAUCUUAAAAAUGGGAUGGGAGGAAUCUUUGGAAAAUAAAAAAAAGAAUAGGUUAAGACUCUCCUCCCCAUGGACAAAAUAGGUUAGUAUAUACAUUUAUAUGCUAAUAUAAAUGUAAAUUAUGAUAUAUACCAAUAUAAAAUAAAUUAUGAUAUUUUCUGUUUUUAGUUUAUCAUGAAAUAUUUUUGGACCUGUCAUUCUCUGUUUAUUCCAAUCAUAAUUAUUUGCUAAGCAGUGUUUGGUUUACAAUUGAAAGGAUUAGAGCUGGUAUAGGUAAGGUGAUGUGAGUUGCCAAAGAUUUUCACAGAAUCAUGGUUCUCUGGAGUUCCUCAUUUUGGUAAGUGUGUCUUUGUUAGAGUUUCAGUGACUUUCAUUGGAAGGAUUAAGUAGGAUUAAAUAAAAAAAACAAAGUGAUUAUAACAGUCCAAUACAUCAUAGUGCUAUGUAAGUCUUAAAAGUCAUUGUUGUCAUCUUCACCAUCAUCACCAUCAACAUCAUCUUCACUCAUGUCCUUCCAUUUCUAGUUGUCAGUAAACAUCACUGUUGAAAAUGGUUCCUAAACUAACAUCAAUGUUGCACUUGGUGGUGUGGCCUUAGUAGAGGAUUUACAACCUUAGAUUUCAUACACUUAGUGGAUACACUUCAUUAAUGUACUACUGGUACCAUUGUUUCUCAUGCAUCUUAUGUAACAUUUUUGAGGGGCAGUAUAGUGUCCUCUUCUUGAAGAAAGUAUGUGAUACUCCCUGCACAAACCUCCUUUUACCUCCAACUCGAUCUUAUACUAUUCAAUAUCCUUGAUUCAAAACUGGAUUCUAUUUACAUGCCAUUUAAUAAAUUCAACUAUUUUUUUAAGUUCAUAUUAAAGUUAGUGAAAAUUAAUAGUCCUGAAACAUUAGAACUAAAAUUAAAUUUGUGGAUGAUAAGCAACAAUUUUUUACAAAUUAUUUUAUUCUUUAAUUUAAAUACACCUAACAAUUAUUUUUUUAAAAAAGAAAGAAGUUAUUUGUUAUUUAAAUAAAAAAAACAAAGUUUAGGUGAAACAUUUUGUUAGUUAUCCAUCUCUUCUUUCCGAGUCAAAUGACACAUAUUUGAACAGGGAUAAAUGUUCACUUGAAUUACAACCAUUUAAACAGAUUUAUCAAGAAAGCUGCAUGUGCAGAAAUAUUUACUUGACUUUAUUUUUAUGAAUUCCUAAUAUAGCCUUGAGCGCAGACACUUCUCAACACAUGAUUCUUUUAAUUCAAGUUUUCUGUAAUUCAUAUUUUUCUAGUAAAAGUUAUUGACUAUAAUAAUAAGAAUUUAAAAUAAAUGGAAUAUUUACAAAAUAUUUGUGUGGGUUGAUCACACAGGAAUCAUUCAUUUUUAAUAUUUGAUCAAUCCCAAUAUUACUGAGCAUAUACCCUGAAUUUAAAUGUUAUACUCACACAGCUAAGUUUAAGAAAGGGGAGGGUGGUUUAGGAUAUAACUCAAUGGUAGAGUACUUGCCUAGCAUGCGUGAAACUCUCUGUUUGAUCCCCAAUACUUAAAGAAAAAAUGAAGUGACAGUUAACAUAUUUUCUUUUUUUUUUAUUUUCCAAAGAUUCCUCCCAUCCCAUUUUUAAGAUAGUUUAAACAUUCUUAAACAGAUCUCUGAAUAUUCAAAGAAAUACAAUGAAAAUAUUGGGGAGUGUUCUAGUUAGUUAGUUUUUGUUGUUGUUGUUGUUUGCUGCUGUGACCAAAAGACAUGACAAGAACAAUUUUAGAAGAGGAAAUGUUUAUUUGGGGGCUCACAGUUUCAGAGGUUUGUUUUUUUUUUUUUUUCCAUAGAUGACCAACUCCAUUGCCCUGGGCCAGAUAUGAGGAAGAACAUCGUGAUAGAAGGGCAUGACAGAGGAAAGCACCUCAGGACAUGACACCAGGAAGCAGAGUCAGAGAAAGAGAGAGAGAGAGAGAGAGAGAGACUCUCCUCCCAAUGGACAAAAUACAUACCCCAAUGACACAUCCCAAAUCACCCACCUCCUCUAGCCACACCAUAUAUGCCUACAUUUACAACCCAGUUAAUCUGUAUCAGUGGAUUAAUACAUUGAUUAGGUUAAGGCUCUUAUUUCAUCUCUAAACCCCCUUGCAGGGUCUCACACAUGAACUUUGGGUGGACACUUCAUAUCUAAACCAUAACAGGGAGGCAACAUGUUUUCCUAGUCCUUCAUUUAUUAUAAACUUUAAUUCGUAGUCAGGAAAAAGUGGAAGAAUAAUAUUUUGGAAUAAAGUUGAAAUGAUUUAAUACUUUUCAUUUUUAAAUGUAUUGUGCUUACUUCUCUCAUAUUGCUACUAAUUAAAGUGUAAGAAUCUCAGAAACAGAGAAGCAUUCCCAUAGUACUUUCUUGAACAACAGUGUCACUGAAACACAAAGGAAUGGUAAGGUAAUUUUGAUGAAAAUUUCUGAUUGUGUGCUACAUAUAGUUCUGAAAAAUGUUUAUAAUUUUAAUAAAUAAUAGUAUCAAGUUACUUCGUGGAUUAAUUGAUAUAAUAGACCCACUGGUUACUUAUAUUUUAAUUGAUACAUGAUCUAAGCAAAUCAUAAUGGAAGUCUAUAGCAAUAAGAACAGAGUUUCACAAAAAUACAUAUUCAACAACAGGUUUAAAAGUGUUCAGAGUAACUUAACAUUCAAUUUUGUUUCUCUUUCUUUCUUUCUUUCUUUUUUUUGGUUUGUUUGUUUAAACUAUAUAUUUUAUUAAUUAUUCAAGAAAUUAUAAAUAUAAAUUUUAAAAUGUGAAAGGAUGACAUGCAGAUC